rnacentral:rRNA from 1 species
GAUGAACGCUAGCGGCAGGCUUAACACAUGCAAGUCGAGGGGUAGAGUUAGCUUGCUAACUUGAGACCGGCGCACGGGUGCGUAACGCGUAUGCAAUCUACCUUGUACAGAGGGAUAGCCCAGAGAAAUUUGGAUUAAUACCUCAUAGUAUUAUUGAAUGGCAUCAUUUGAUUAUUAAAGUUCCAACGGUACAAGAUGAGCAUGCGUCCCAUUAGCUAGAUGGUAAGGUAACGGCUUACAAUGGCAACGAUGGGUAGGGGUCCUGAGAGGGAGAUCCCCCACACUGGUACUGAGACACGGACCAGACUCCUACGGGAGGCAGCAGUGAGGAAUAUUGGUCAAUGGGCGCAAGCCUGAACCAGCCAUGCCGCGUGCAGGAAGACGGUCCUAUGGAUUGUAAACUGCUUUUAUACGGGAAGAAACACUGCUACGUGUAGCAGCUUGACGGUACCGUAAGAAUAAGCAUCGGCUAACUCCGUGCCAGCAGCCGCCGUAAAAC